UACGUAGGGUGCGAGCGUUGUCCGGAAUUAUUGGGCGUAAAGAGCUUGUAGACGGUUUGUCGCGUCUGCCGUGAAAAUUCGAGGCUCAACCUCGAACUUGCGGUGGGUACGGGCAGACUAGAGUGUGGUAGGGGAGACUGGAAUUCCUGGUGUAGCGGUGAAAUGCGCAGAUAUCAGGAGGAACACCGAUGGCGAAGGCAGGUCUCUGGGCCACUACUGACGCUGAGAAGCGAAAGCAUGGGGAGCGAACAGG
rnacentral:rRNA from 1 species